rnacentral:lncRNA from 1 species
CCACACAAACAAAGCAUAGCAUUAUCACAACACAGUUAAUCAAACAUUGCAAUUAAAUGCAGACAUAUUGAUCAACUACAUAUCGAAAUGUAAUGCACGAUUAGACAUUCAUACUCAAAUGCAAACAAACAAAUAAAUAAAUAAUAUUGACAAUAAACAACAAUGAUGAAAUAAAUAAAUAAUUGAAUAAUUAAAUGAACAAUCAUGAUAAUAGUAAAAUAAUCAUAACAAGUUAUAGAAUUAAUCUAAAUAAACUUAUUGAUUAUGUUAUUAAUUAAAUCUAGACUAGGUUCUAGCGAAAUUUCGGCAGCACCUCCCCUUAUAAGUUGGACUAUCUACCGGCUCAAAUAUCCCAAUAUUAUGAUAUAUUUAUCAAUCAGUGCACACAGCCCAUCCGUCGGGCAAUCAAUCAAUUUAAAAUCCCAUCCUCCUUUCAAAACAACUAUAUCGACACUCAACCAAAAAUUUAUAAACGAAUUUUAAUAAUAUCCAUCUAAAAUCAUUUAUUAAGUCAUUAGUUAACUAAAUUAAUAGCUUUACAGUAACUAAUUUGUUAAGCAGCUAAAACAUAUUUAACAAUAACUAAUUAUAACUACUACCUAUUAAAAUUCGGUUUUUAUAUCAAUAUAAAAAAAUGGCUAGCCCUCCCAAAUCUUAAUUUAUUAAAAUCUCGGAUCUAACCGUUAACCAACUAAAAUUCGCCUUACCUUUCUUAUGCACGAUCGGCUAAUUUUAAACUAAUGAUUAUCUAAUUAACUAAUUAACUAAUUCUAAUUUANN